UGCGUGAAGUCGGAAUCGCUAGUAAUCGCGGAUCAGCAUGCCGCGGUGAAUACGUUCCCGGGCCUUGUACACACCGCCCGUCACACCAUGAGAGUCGGGAACACCCGAAGUCCGUAGCCUAACCGUAAGGAGGGCGCGGCCGAAGGUGGGUUCGAUAAUUGGGGUGAAGUCGUAACAAGGUAGC
rnacentral:rRNA from 1 species